rnacentral:rRNA from 1 species
AGUGAACGCUGGCGGUAGGCCUAACACAUGCAAGUCGAACGGCAGCACAGUAAGAGCUUGCUCUUACGGGUGGCGAGUGGCGGACGGGUGAGGAAUACAUCGGAAUCUACCUUUUCGUGGGGGAUAACGUAGGGAAACUUACGCUAAUACCGCAUACGACCUACGGGUGAAAGCAGGGGAUCUUCGGACCUUGCGCGAUUGAAUGAGCCGAUGUCGGGUUAGCUAGUUGGCGGGGUAAAGGCCCACCAAGGCGACGAUCCGUAGCUGGUCUGAGAGGAUGAUCAGCCACACUGGAACUGAGACACGGUCCAGACUCCUACGGGAGGCAGCAGUGGGGAAUAUUGGACAAUGGGCGCAAGCCUGAUCCAGCCAUACCGCGUGGGUGAAGAAGGCCUUCGGGUUGUAAAGCCCUUUUGUUGGGAAAGAAAAGCAGCAGGUUAAUACCCCGCUGUUCUGACGGUACCCAAAGAAUAAGCACCGGCUAACUUCGUG